rnacentral:rRNA from 1 species
UGGCUCAGGACGAACGCUGGCGGCGUGCCUAACACAUGCAAGUCGAGCGAGGAGAUCCUCGGGAUGAUCCUAGCGGCGGACGGGUGAGUAACACGUGGGCAACCUGCCUCAUAGAGAGGAAUAGCCUUCCGAAAGGGAGAUUAAUACCUCAUAACAUUGCAGUUUCGCAUGGAACAGCAAUUAAAGGAGCAAUCCGCUAUGAGAUGGGCCCGCGGCGCAUUAGCUAGUUGGUGAGGUAACGGCUCACCAAGGCGACGAUGCGUAGCCGACCUGAGAGGGUGAUCGGCCACAUUGGGACUGAGACACGGCCCAGACUCCUACGGGAGGCAGCAGUGGGGAAUAUUGCACAAUGGGGGAAACCCUGAUGCAAGCAACGCCGCGUGAGUGAUGGCGGCCUUCGGGUUGUAAAGCUCUGUCUUCAGGGACGAUAAUGACGGUACCUGAGGAGGAAGCCACGGCUAACUACGUGCCAGCAGCCGC